GGGAGGUGGGUGAAUUAGCAAGACAAAAAUACAUGCUGCUCGGGGAAGGACGGGAAAAGGCUGCCGGGAAGCAAACAGUAACCACUGCUGGCGGGGCAGCGGUUGUCACCCCGGGAGUCUGGCCUGGCAGUCACAGAGCAGAAAUCUGUCUCCAGCCUUACAGGUUCUAACACACCCGCUGCAAGUGUGUUUCCGGGCGGGGCGCAAGAAGGAGCAGGCCUGGGGGGUACACGUGGGCCUGAUGUUCUCCGUACAGAAUGUUCUGUCUUCUUCCUCAUCCCUUCUCAGAUCUGGACAGCACGGGCAUUGGAGAACCUUAGAACAAGGAACACUUUGUAAACCAAAGCCUCCAAAUGCUCUCUGCGGGUUCAUGUGAAAAGCGUACUAGCAGU